rnacentral:tRNA from 2 species
CGGGGCGUGGCGUAGCUUGGUAUCGCGCCUGCUUUGGGAGCAGGAGGUCCCCGGUUCAAAUCCGGGCGCCCCGACCA